GGAUUAUAAAGAAGCCAUCAAUUUGCUCUUACUGGAGCACCAACCCAAUCUGUUCUAGUCCAGUGUACUCCCAAACCAUGUCUAGAACAAGAUAUGAGCUGCUGCUGAGAUAUUUACAUUUCAAUGACAAUACCCUCUGUCACCCCAGAGAUCACACCCAAUAUGAUAGGCUUCAUAAAAUAUGCCCACUGAUAGACCAUCAUCAG